GUACUCACUUGGGCAGCACAUAUACUAAAAAAUUGUAAUGAUACAGAGAAGAUGAGCAUGGCCUCUGUGCAAGGAUGACACGGAAAUUCGUGAAGCGCUCCAUAUUUAA
ensembl:snRNA U6 U6 spliceosomal RNA